AUGGUGCUUGAGAUCCAUUUUGACAAAAUGGAUGAGAGGGCUCACAGGGCUCUUGUGAAGUCUCUAUGCAACCUCCGCAGAAUCAAAACUCUGGAGAUAUAUUGUGACUCGGUGGAUAUAGAGGAGUGGCCUCAUCAUGGCGGCUGGGAAGAUUGGACGCCAGCACCUUAUGAGAUUCGUGAGUUGACACUGUCUGGCAUGGUUUUACCAAGAAGGCUGCCGUGGAUGGCUCCCUCGUGUGUCCCCCACCUAUCCUACCUGUUGUUCACAGCUCAGGUGGUGGAACAACAGGAUCUGCGGAUCCUCGGGGGUCUGCCAUCGCUUCGCUGCCUGUACAUCUCGAGUGUUGACAACUGCCCUCUGUAUACUGUUCUAGCAAGCGAUGAGUUCCAAAACUUGAGAUAUCUGAGCACCAACAUAGAUAUUAAGUGUGGGGAGGGAGCACUGCCUAUGCUUCAUAAAUUGGUAUGUGGCGCCAGCAUAGGAAUGGAAGAUAUUGGUUUGGUACCGGGCAGCAUGCCUUUGCUGGAGAAAGUCACCUACUGGCUAAAUUGCAAGAAUUGCAACGGUGAUGAGGUGGAGGAAACGGAGGCAAAGCUGAGGCACGCCACCAGGAUCCACCCCAACAGUCCCGCCCUUGCAAUACGAAGGCACAACUACAAGCACACUUCCUCUGGAACAUACAAGGACCAACAACAGGGGCUGCCAAGGUUAAUUAUUCAAUCACUCAAGCGUGUGAUACGUGAUGGUGGAGAGGUUUCGGCCACCGAUGAAGAGCCGGAUGAUGGUGGCGCGCGCAAGAUAGCUCGUAUCGUCAAAGAGGAGGCAGCGGCAGCGCCGCCCAUGCUUAAAUCAUGUUGUUCCAUUAACAAGGUAUGA
rnacentral:rRNA from 1 species